rnacentral:rRNA from 1 species
AACAGGAUUAGAUACCCUGGUAGUCCACGCCGUAAACGAUGUCGACUUGGAGGUUGUGCCCUUGAGGCGUGGCUUCCGGAGCUAACGCGUUAAGUCGACCGCCUGGGGAGUACGGCCGCAAGGUUAAAACUCAAACGAAUUGACGGGGGCCCGCACAAGCGGUGGAGCAUGUGGUUUAAUUCGAUGCAACGCGAAGAACCUUACCUACUCUUGACAUCCAGAGAACUUAGCAGAGAUGCUUUGGUGCCUUCGGGAACUCUGAGACAGGUGCUGCAUGGCUGUCGUCAGCUCGUGUUGUGAAAUGUUGGGUUAAGUCCCGCAACGAGCGCAACCCUUAUCCUUUGUUGCCAGCGGUCCGGCCGGGAACUCAAAGGAGACUGCCAGUGAUAAACUGGAGGAAGGUGGGGAUGACGUCAAGUCAUCAUGGCCCUUACGGGUAGGGCUACACACGUGCUACAAUGGCGCAUACAAAGAGAAGCGACCUCGCGAGAGCAAGCGGACCUCAUAGAGUGCGUCGUAGUCCGGAUUGGAGUCUGCAACUCGACUCCAUGAAGUCGGAAUCGCUAGUAAUCGUGGAUCAGAAUGCCACGGUGAAUACGUUCCCGGGCCUUGUACACACCGCCCGUCACACCAUGGGAGUGGGUUGCAAAAGAAGUAGGUAGCUUAACCUUCGGGAGGGCGCUUACCACUUUGUGAUUCAUGACUGGGGUGAAGUCGUAACAAGGUAACC